UUGUAAGCUAAUCGAUCGUCAGCUAAUCUGUUAAUCCACUCUGCUUAACUAGAUCAACAUUGAGGCGCAAGUAUACGUAAUUUUAUUAUAUUUGCCAGUAUUUUAGUGUUGGUACGUUGUACAGCAAGAAACGGACUUGAGCUAGAUGCAGUUUUUUGCAUUUGGAAUUUUUGAAAGAAUAACGCCGAAAUAAUGGGUUGUAAAAAAGUUGCUUUUACUUUAGUGACAGUUUGUUUAAUAAUCGAAAGUUGUUGGUCCAAUGUAUUGAACAGGGAAUUAUAUAUUAAAAAUAAUGAGGAUGAUAUGGAAGUUAAAGAUAUACUACCAACAGAUGGUGCAGAUGACUGUUGCAGUGUCUGUAUUUAUGUACCAAGCGUUGGCUGUAUAGACCCAACCGACCCUUCUAUUCACCCCCCAUCAAUCAAGAUAGUUUCGAAAUGAUCUAUGUACCAAAUAUGAAAUUUUAGACUGCUGUUUUUAUAAAAAAAUUAAAAAAUCUGAAAAAUUUUCAAUUUCUGUUUUUUCCACGUGACUGACGUGAAGAAAUCAUGUAAAAUGUAUAUAUGUAUAAUUCAAUAAAUAGAUAAGUGUUAUAAAAGAU